GGUGGUAGCUCAGUGGUAGAGUACUUGCCUAGCAUGUGUGAGGCACUGGGUUCGAUUCUCAGCACCA
rnacentral:tRNA from 1 species